rnacentral:rRNA from 1 species
GAUGAACGCUGGCGGCGUGCCUAAUACAUGCAAGUCGAGCGAACGGACGAGAAGCUUGCUUCUCUGAUGUUAGCGGCGGACGGGUGAGUAACACGUGGAUACCCUACCUAUAAGACUGGGAUAACUUCGGGAAACCGGAGCUAAUACCGGAUAAUAUUUUGAACCGCAUGGUUCAAAAGUAAAAGACGGUCUUGCUGUCACUUAUAGAUGGAUCCGCGCUGCAUUAGCUAGUUGGUAAGGUAACGGCUUACCAAGGCAACGAUGCAUAGCCGACCUGAGAGGGUGAUCGGCCACACUGGAACUGAGACACGGUCCAGACUCCUACGGGAGGCAGCAGUAGGGAAUCUUCCGCAAUGGGCGAAAGCCUGACGGAGCAACGCCGCGUGAGUGAUGAAGGUCUUCGGAUCGUAAAACUCUGUUAUUGGGGAAGAACAUAUGUGUAAGUAACUGUGCACAUCUUGACGGUACCUAAUCAGAAAGCCACGGCUAACUACGUG